rnacentral:lncRNA from 1 species
CUGGGAGCCCCGCCAGCAGGCUCUUGCUUCCGGGAUUUUGCAUUCAUCUUAUCUGCGUUGAAAAAACAGCUUCCCCACCUGGCACACUUCCUCCCUUCUAAAGCCCCCCCCCCCCAAGAUCUCGCCUCAGGCCGCCCUUACCAAAAACUUUAUACCUCCCCCACCCACCCUUAGUCCUGUCUGAUUUUCCUCUUCAGCCUGCUGACAUCUUUCAUAUCUGUUUCUUUCUCGGACUUGCUGGGCCAGAAUGGGAAUUGCGGGCGAGCGGGGACUUUGUUGUGCUCGAGAUGGAGCCUCCAGCACCGAGGACAGUGGCGGAUGCACAGUCGGGGCAGUAAACCUCUGCGCAGAUUUUGAGUUGGAGUUGGGAGCGCCUCUCCUUCAAGACAGUCCCAUCAUCUACUUGGGCACCAGUGGGACAGAGGUCAUUACCAAAAAUUCUGGGGAAGAAGAAAAAUUGGCAGGUACUAUAUUCAGGAAUAAGAAUGUUAAGAUAUGA